rnacentral:rRNA from 1 species
CGGACUGUGGUCUGCAACUCGACCACACGAAGCUGGAAUCGCUAGUAAUCGCGAAUCAGCAUGUCGCGGUGAAUACGUUCCCGGGUCUUGUACACACCGCCCGUCACACCAUGGGAGUCAGCAACGCCCGAAGUCAGUGACCUAACCGAAAGGAAGGAGCUGCCGAAGGCGGGGCAGGUAACUGGGGUGAAGUCGUAACAAGGUAAC